rnacentral:rRNA from 1 species
GACGAACGCUGGCGGCGUGCUUAACACAUGCAAGUCGAACGGACAGGCCCUGCUUUUGUGGGGUGCUCGAGUGGCGAACGGGUGCGUAACACGUGAGUAACCUGCGCUUGACUUUGGGAUAACUUCAGGAAACUGGGGCUAAUAACGGAUAGGAGCUCCUGCUGCUUGGUGGGGGUUGGAAAGUUUCGGCGGUUGGGGAUGGACUCGCGGCCUAUCAGCUUGUCGGUGGGGUAGUGGCUUACCAAGGCUUUGACGGGUCGCCGGCCUGAGAGGGUGACCGGCCACAUUGGGACUGGGAUGCGACCCAGACUCCUACGGGGGGCAGCAGUGGGGAAUAGUGCACAAUGGGCGGAAGCCUGAUGCAGCAAUGCCGCGUGCUGGAUGACGGCCUUCGGGGUGUAAACCGCGUGCGCCUGGGACGAAGCGUGAGUGACGGUAAUGGGUAAAGAAGCACCGGCUAACUACGUG